rnacentral:snRNA from 1 species
GUGCUCACUUCAGCAGCUCAUAUACUAAAAACUGGAAUGAUACAGAAGAUUGGCAUGGCCUCUGCACAAGGAUGACACACAAUUUCUUUUUUUUUUUUUUUUUUUU